UUAACUACAGAGAUAGGCUUCAUAUUUUCUUUAAACCUUGGGUGAGCCCAUCCAAAAAUAUAUCUUCAAGUCUGAUCUAGCCUGUGGGUCACCCCUGCUAUUCUAGAUGUUCAUAUCGUGUGGUUUCUUUCCUCCACAUUAUGAUGGGCAUCUUCUUCCGUUUGUCCACUGACACCAUGACCUUGUUACCAUGACUUAGCCCUGAGGCCAGGGUGGCAGGCCAAAGAUGUUAAGAGUGCAGAAAGAACACACACCUGUCUAGUAGCUUAAGGUUGGAUCUCAGCUCCGCCUGCCAUCUAUUAGCUGAGCAAGGGGCACAAUUUAUCGGUUUCCUCAUUUAUAAACAUAUGCUACCCACCACCCAAGGUUGUGGUAAGAAAUAAAUGAGAUGACAGGUAUGAAAGGUUCAGCCCGUAGAAGAUGUUCAAAUACGAUAGCUUCCUUCUACUUGUUGUAGAUCUUACCUACUGUUCAAAACCAGAUGCAGGCUGCAGCCCCUCCAGCCUUCUCUGACCUCUCCAGCUCAUAGGGCACUUUCUUUUCUGAAUUUCAUUUGCCCUUCAUGGCUUGUGAAUUCAAACAAUCCUUGGCAUUACCAGGCAACUUUUCAUGUGUAUGUGCGAUACAUUGCCACAAUUUGGUCAUCAGCUCCCUAAAGACACUUUUCUUCUUCUCAUGAGCUUAAUUCCAUAUCUUUUACUAUUGAGUAGGCACUGCCUUGUGUGAAGCUUUUUCAUGACAACCAUGUAAGGAAGAGGGCUCCAUGAACUGCCCUCUAAUGAGGCAGCUGGCACACCAAAUUUGAUAACUGGAGAGAAAUCCGUAAACAUAUAGUGUUCCCGGUCACCAAGCUGACCAAGCAAGAUAGUGUGUAGAUGAUGAGACUUCAUCCCACUUCUACUUCUGUAAAAAUAAUGCAAAGUGCUAUUUUCCCAGGGAAAAUGUGGCCGACUGAAAAAUGUCCCCCUAAGAUAUCAGGUCCUCAUCCCUGAAAGCUGUGACUAUCUCCUUAAAUGAAAAAAUAUGUGAUUAAGUGAAGGAAUUGGACUUAGGGAGAUUAUUUUGGAUAGUCCAGAUGGGUCCUAAAUGCAAUCACAAAUGCCCUUUUAAGAGAUAGGCAGAGGGAGAUUUGACACAGACAGAAAAGAAGCCAAUGUGUGGGAAGAAGCAGAGAGGGAGAUUAGGCUGCUUCAGAAGAGAAGGCAGCCAUGGACGCUGAAUCAGAGAGAGAAAAAUGCUACGCUGUGAAGAUGGAGGAAGGGGCCAUGAUCCAAGGAAUACAAGGAAUGCAUCUCCAGACACUGGAAAAAGGCAAGGAAAUGGAGUCUCCUUGGGAGCCUCUGCAGAGAGUGCGUUGCUGCCAACACCUUGAUUUCAGCCCAUGGACACUGAUUUCAGACCUCUGAUCUCCAGAACUGUAAGAGAACAAAUGUGUGUUGUGGUGACCACCCGGAGGAGCAACCAGGCAGGGCAUUUUGACUCUGUAAGGACAGUGACACUGGCGCGAGCCAGACCUCUCCAGAAAUCAAACGGCCAGGUUCACGCGCCAGCAGGGACUGCUGGAAUGUUGCUUUGUUUCUGACUCUGAAUUUAUAGUCUCACUCCUCCUUCCCUGCCCUCCUGGAAUGCAAUUUAUUAUUGUGCAGACCUAGUGGCUUUUCUCCAACUUUAUUUCUUUUUUCAGAAAUAAACAAGGGUUUUACAGCUCCAUAGCCUCCCCAACGUUUGUUUGUUCUUUCCUCUGUACAGUGUGGGCCAUGUUUGUUCCCUGGAAAAGUCUCUUCCCUAAUUAUUUUCACAUUUCAACAGCUUUUGUUUCUUCUUUCUGUGAGGUUUAUGAAAAUGCUGAUGGUGGAUUUGCUUCAGGCUAAAUCGUACUGUAAACGUUUUCUCCUGGCACAUGGGAGCCUCGGUGACCCGGGGACCCUGUUGCUAUUCCUUAUUGUGUACCAUGCCAGAAGGAAGUUUUAAAAUCCUGAAACACUCUUGCUGAUGGCUCGAAGAUAAAUACAUAAAUUGGUAGUAUGGAGAAAAUCUGCUAAUCUUGUACAAGGAAACUUGGACAAUAUCAUGUAGGUAAGACCCAGCUGAGAAAAAGGCUGCCUUGAACACUUAGCUUUCAUUCUACGUUGAGAUCUUUCUGUCUCUGACCACAGACCGAAAUGUGUUAUGUUUUAAGGAAAUAAAGAUUUUUUAAA